CUCCAGUUAUUCCCCCUCUCCUACAAAUGUGAUCAAUUUGGCAUGGGUAUGCGUACAGUUGGAAUGAGGCGCCAUGGGAAGGAUUCAAAUAUCUGAGAAGUGUGCUAAAUCAAUAGUGCCAAUCGGUUCAGUUUCAGCUUCAAAAACAUUGGGUGAUUGAAAAUGGCAUGCUAUAUUUCUGCAACAAGGCUCCCUAAAUAUUCCCUAUGUUCUAAACUGGAUUCUGACAAGGGUGUACACCCUGCUAUUUGGUCAGAAGUCUGGGAGUUCAUACUUGGUUGUUUGAUCUCGAGAACACCUUUGAUGACCACGGGCAAAUUGGGCGAACCAGAAGGUUUGUACUUGGCUUUAUCAGAAUUAGAAUAUGCAGAACAUGUGUUGGAGAAGUGCCCAUUUGGUUUUAUGAAAUAAUAUUCAGUCAGUUUAAAGUUAUUUCCAUGUUGAUUGCAUUUUGUUGUAGGAACGUGCAAAGAAACUAAUGUUUGAUCAUGUCGUUGACCGGCUCUGUUAUGAUAAUUCUUUGAGAAAGUGGUCACAUUCCACAUGAAGAACCCGUAGUACCAUGUUUUACCAUCUCUAUCGCCACUAUGUUUGGCUUUUGGUUUCUUUUUAUUUUCCUGCUCUGAGUACUCGCCCUCUAAUGUUGUAC